GGGGAUAUAGCUCAGUGGUAGAGCAUAUGUCUAGCAUGUAUAAGGCCCUGGGUUCAAUCUCCAGCACCA
rnacentral:tRNA from 1 species